rnacentral:rRNA from 1 species
GAACUUAAGCAUAUCAAUAAGCGGAGGAAAAGAAACCAACAGGGAUUGCCUCAGUAACGGCGAGUGAAGCGGCAACAGCUCAAAUUUGAAAUCUGGUUCCCUCUCAGGGGCCCGAAUUGUAAUUUGUAGAGGAUGCUUUCGGGGGUUUGGCCCUGGCCUAAGUUCCUUGGAACAGGACGUCAUAGAGGGUGAGAAUCCCGUAUGUGGCUGGAGGUCUUAUUCCCAUGUAAAGCUCCUUCGACGAGUCGAGUUGUUUGGGAAUGCAGCUCAAAAUGGGUGGUAAGUUUCAUCUAAAGCUAAAUACUGGCGGGAGACCGAUAGCGCACAAGUAGAGUGAUCGAAAGAUGAAAAGCACUUUGGAAAGAGAGUUAAAAAGUACGUGAAAUUGUUGAAAGGGAAGCGCUUGCAACCAGACUUGCCCUCAGUUGAUCAACUGGUGUUCUUCACCAGUGCACUCUGCUGAGGUCAGGCCAGCAUCAGUUUAGGUGGUUAGAGAAAGGCCUUGGGAAUGUGGCUCUCUUCGGGGAGUGUUAUAGCCCAAGGUGUCAUGUAGCCAGCCUGGACUGAGGACCGCGCCUUUGUGCUAGGAUGCUGGCGUAAUGGUUGUAAGCGACCCGUCUUGAAACACGGACCAAGGAGUCUAACAUCUAUGCGAGUGUUUGGGUGUCAAACCCAUGCGCGUAAUGAAAGUGAACGGAGGUGGGAACUCUUGAGGGUGCACCAUCGACCGAUCCUGAUGUCUUCGGAUGGAUUUGAGUAAGAGCAUAGCUGUUGGGACCCGAAA